UCAUAUGCAGUACAAAUGGUUACUAAAUAAUUAAUUCAGAAGUGCUUUGGAAUGGUUUCAGACAUUAGUAUUCCACGGACAAGUAACUAUAGACACGCUUUGUUAUUCUCCAUUUUAGUUCAGUACGAGUUCCUCUCCCCGUUUGAUUGUCGUAAGUCGCCAUGUCAGUUAAAUUCUCAACUGCAUAUGUUGCUUUGAUCAUUGUACUGUUCUUACGACAUGUUAUGAUGGACAAUAUAUGCGUAAAAUUCAGCGGGGAUCAGGAGAUUGGAAAGAAAUUACCACUCUCCCCAUUCAAGGUGUUAUACGAAAUCGGUCUCCUCAUGUGUUUCAGAGAAUGUGAAGCUUAUACUUUUUGUCUGUCCAUCAACUUUAACCGGAAGACGUUGAUGUGCGAACUCAACAGCCAAAAAAGAAACGAAAAACUGACUUUAGUUAAUGAUAACGACUUUAUUUACCGAGAUAUACCAGGUGUUGUUGAUUACAGAGACAAGAGAUGUGGGAGUCUACAGUGUAACCAAUAUUCCAAAUGUGUGCGUACAACCUCCAACCAACAUGUUUGCAUCGCCAUAGGUAAAUCAUAUCUGUAUUAUACCUGUCAAUGAUUAUACACAUAGGUAAAUCAUAUCUGUAUUAUACCUGUCAAUGAUUAUACACAUAGGUAAAUCAUAUCUGUAUUAUACCUGUCAAUGAUUAUACACAUAGGUAAAUCAUAUCUGUAUUAUACCUGUCAAUGAUUAUACACAUAGGUAAAUCAUAUCUGUAUUAUACCUGUCAAUGAUUAUACACAUAGGUAAAUCAUAUAUGUAUUAUACCUGUCAAUGAUUAUAUACAUAGGUAAAUCAUAUCUGUAUUAUACCUGUCAAUGAUUAUACACAUAGGUAAAUUAUAUCUGUAUUAUACCUGUCAAUGAUUAUACACAUAGGUAAAUUAUAUCUGUAUUAUACCUGUCAAUGAUUAUACACAUAGGUAAAUCAUAUCUGUAUUAUACCUGUCAAUGAUUAUACACAUAGGUAAAUCAUAUCUGUAUCAUACCUGUCAAUGAGUAUACACAUAGGUACAUUUACAUUCUUUCGCUGAAUUAAUUAGUAUAAUCUAAUUAUGUUUCAAACUACAAAAAGAGAUAAAUCAUUCGUCUAU